rnacentral:misc_RNA from 1 species
GAUGAAGAACGCAGCGAAAUGCGAUACGUAAUGUGAAUUGCAGAAUUCAGUGAAUCAUCGAGUCUUUGAACGCACAUUGCGCCCCUUGGUAUUCCGGGGGGCAUGCCUGUUCGAGCGUCAUUUCAACCCUCAAGCUCUGCUUGGUAUUGGGCUCCGUCCUCCUCGGACGCGCCUCAAAGACCUCGGCGGUGGCGUCUUGCCUCAAGCGUAGUAGAAACACCUCGCUUUGGAGUGCAUGGCGUCGCCCGCCGGACGAAACCUUUUGUAUUUUCUCAAAGGUUGACCUCGGAUCAGGUAGGGAUACCCGCUGAACUUAAGCAUAUCAAUAAGCGGAGGA